UAUUACUUAAAUGUGAGGCACUUUUUUAACAUUGUGAUCCAGAAACAGCAAAAUUUUGGCAAACUUUCACCAUAUCAUAUUUGUAUUGUUAAAUGCCAGCUAGCAUACUAUUAUAAUCAUGUGAUGUUUAAGACUAAUAUUAUCUAUUUACUCUCUAUGACCUUAUUGCAACUCAGUAAUAGAUGGCUAUUUUGGCACUGAUAGCUAUUUUGGUUUUAAGCAAAGAAAUGUAAGCUCUGUUGUACAUUGCAUGCUUUUACCAAAAUGUUUUAUCAUUUUGUUAAUAUAUGCUGUUAUAUUUUUCCUUAUAUGAUCCCUUUUUUGAUGGCAUAAUGUUGGCCUGAAGCUAUACACUGAAAAUAUUUUAUUUUAGCACUCUUUUUUUAAACACAAGACGGUAUUGUAAGUCAGGUAAUGGAAAUUGUUUUGUUAACUGCAUUCUGUUGUUUCACUGUUGCAUUAGUGAACCUUAAUAUAAUGGUUAUGUAAUAUUAAUCUCCUCAGAUGAUGUGUAAAUGUGUCGCAACUUACAACAAAUGCUUACAUGCAGCAUUAAAGAGACAUUCAGUUUGUCCCAGCAAUCAAACAAUGUGUGUGGAUCUAGGGGAGAUAAAACAGGCCAAACUGUUCAAAUAUGUACGGCCAAGCGUGGGCUGGGUGAGAUUUGUGCCCUCACUACAGCAAGCCAGCAGCUUCUGAGAAUGUUCUUGUUUGCCGUCAAGGUCAGGGCCACUAAUCAAUGUCAGUAUCUUUCAACAUUUCCCUUGGAAAACGAUCCGAAGAGGAGUUUGGACAGUUGCGUGUACCCCUAGCUGUGGUUUUUGUGCAGCAGUGAGCUAUCAAGAGAUUAUGUAUAGUAUUACUAUGCUAGCGGCAAAGCUGCUAAUCCUCAGUCCUCCAGGGGAAUUGGGCAAACUUGAAAGACGGCAGGCACUAAAUGGUCUUUUGGCUCUUUUAUUAAGGCCAGUGUUUCUAGGGGGUCAAACCCAAGUGUGCCAUAUCUCAAGUACAAUGUUGUACCAGAGCCCCUUCAGAAGCUACAGAAGAUUGUCACGUUUCCCAGAAGACAAAAUAAGUUGAAUUUAUCCUGAUGUUCAAAUUCAAAAAGUUUUCACCCCCUGGCUUUUAUAGGAGAAGUCCACUUCCAGAACAACAAUUUACAGAUAAUGUACUCACCCCCUUGUCAUCCAAGGUGUUCAUGUCUUUCUUUCUUCAGUCGUAAAGAAAUUGUGUUUUUUGAGGAAAAAAAUUCUAGAUUUUUCUCCAUAUAACGGACUGAUAUGGUGACAAGUGGACUCCUUUAAUGCAUAGUCUUUUUUUUGUUUUGUUUUGUUUUUUUUUCUUCUGGAGCAUCAGUGAGCAUUUUAACUUUUGUAAUAGUUGCAUAUCAAUCCCUCAGUUGUCCCCAGUGUGAAAAGAUGGAUAGUCAUUGUUGAAAAGGGUUAAAAUACACAGAAAUUAUGGAAAACCAAAUAAUUUAUGGGACCUGAUUUAUUUUUCUGAAGAAAAGCAGGCAGUAUAACUGUUCAGGACAAACAAGGGACUCAUUAACAGCUAUCAAUAAACCAAAAGCUGUGGAUCAACAACACGGUAUUAAGAAUCAAAGGGAUGUAAAGUUUUGAAUUUGGUCAUUUUUAUAAAAUCAGCUAUUGUUAUCACUUGUGGACUAUAUGUAAACAUCUUUUUAUGUGAAAUAUCUUAUUCAGGUCUGUACUAAAUAAACAAAAACAUACAUUUUGUAUGAACCCUCGUAUUUUGGUAAAAUAACAUUUUGUAGAUUCUGAAAGGGGGAUGUAAACUUUUGACGUCAACUGUAAAUUAUUGAAUUAUUUUAAAUGAAAUGCACGUGCAUCUAAACCAAUUUUACUGCACAAACCACUUUUUUCUUACACUCUUCUAAACUUUGCAAGUAUAUGUCAACUUAUUCUACUAACCCUAAACCUAACCUAACAGUCUGCUCUGAGAGUUAGUAGACAUGCAGUUGCAAAUUAAUAAGAAUUAGUUGACAUGUAGUUGCAAAGUUACUUAUAGUUAGUAGAAUGUCUAGAGUGGACCAAAAAAUUUAAGUAGCCAAACAGGACGAGCCAUUCAAACAGUAGAAAGACAGUAUAAUUAUGCUACAGAUGUCUGAAGGGGUGGUUGUGGAUGUGAAUCAUGCUAGACUAUUUCUGUUGCCAUGAGGGAUGUUAAAGUGCUGAAAAGCUAAUGCAUUGCCUUUCACAACCUCUGCCUUAAAAGCUAAAAGAGUAUAUAUAAAAUACUAGGGAAUCCAUAAAUUCUCACUCAGUGUGUUAUGCUGAUAACACAAUUUGUACAGAAAGAAAGAAAAUUUCUACCACUAGUGGUCUCAGACUUUUGGACCCCACUGUAUAUUUCAAUCUAAUCCAGUACAGAAGGCUCUGUCUUAAGCCAGACAUUCUGUUUGUGGCCAAUUGCAGCUCUGUAAACAACAAGCUCAAGAAGCUUCAUUCUGAAUUCAGUUGUUGUAAACAUGCCAAUAAAAUGGAGAGAAAGUGACAUUGCGCACUGUCUAAAACAUUGAUUUCCCCUCUCCCUUUGACAGGUUUGCAGAGAUCCAACUCCCAUAGUUUGCCUUGGAAAACAACAUAUACUUUAGAGACCUGAGAAGCAUGGUGUUCACUAUACGUUCUCUAGAUCAGCCAGUUGUAUACAUCCCUCAAAGGAGAACGAUCUGGUAUUGUCUCAUGUGAGGGUAUUAAUUUUAAGCACCCUUCUCCCUUCUCUGACAGUAUAGUCUAAUCACUUGUUGAUAUAUCAUAGUGGUUGAAACCCAAUAUAAAAGCGGGGGAAAUCCAAGGUUUUUUUGUUUGUUUGUUUGUUUUUUUAUUGUAUAUGAUAAACUUACAGAUUUUGUGGUU